rnacentral:rRNA from 1 species
UACCAGACUCCUACGGGAGGCAGCAGUGGGGAAUAUUGCACAAUGGGGGAAACCCUGAUGCAGCGACGCCGCGUGAGUGAAGAAGUAAUUCGUUAUGUAAAGCUCUAUCAGCAGGGAAGAAAAUGACGGUACCUGAGUAAGAAGCCCCGGCUAACUACGUGCCAGCAGCCGCGGUAAUACGUAGGGGGCGAGCGUUAUCCGGAUUCAUUGGGCGUAAAGCGCGCGUAGGCGGCCGCCUAAGCGGGACCUCUAACCCCGGGGCUCAACCCCGGGCCGGGUCCCGGACUGGGCGGCUCGAGUGCGGUAGAGGAGAGCGGAAUUCCCGGUGUAGCGGUGGAAUGCGCAGAUAUCGGGAAGAACACCGAUGGCGAAGGCAGCUCUCUGGGCCGUCACUGACGCUGAGGCGCGAAAGCUGGGGGAGCGAACGGGAUUAGAUACCCGAGUACAG